GUCGCGAGACAGUUCGGUCCCUAUCUGUUGUGGGCGUUAGAAAUUUGAGAGAACCUGUUCCUAGUACGAGAGGACCGGAAUGGACGAACCUCUAGUGUAUCUGUUGUGACGCCAGUUGCAUCGCAGAGUAGCUACGUUCGGAUGAGAUAAGCGCUGAAAGCAUCUAAGCACGAAACUCAUCUCAAGAUUAGAUUUCUUUUAAGGGUCGUUAUAGACGAUGACGUUGAUAGGUUGCAAGUGUAAAGGCAGAGAUGUCAAAGCUGAGCAAUACUAAUUACCCAUAGACUUUGAUUUA
rnacentral:rRNA from 1 species